rnacentral:tRNA from 1 species
GCGGGUGUGGCGGAAUUGGCAGACGCACUAGACUUAGGAUCUAGCGCCUUCGGUGUGCAGGUUCGACUCCUGUCACCCGCA